GGCUCCAUAGUAUAGUGAUUAGCACAUCUGCUUUGCACGCAGAAGGUCCUGGGUUUGCACCCAAGGUGGAGCCA
rfam:Pteropus alecto contig11353, whole genome shotgun sequence.